GUUAGAUCUAAUUGGAGGCAAACUGAAAUAUAUAGUGGAGUUAGUGUGGUUAUCAGCACAUAAAUGAGUGAUCCAUCAACAAAAGGAGAAAUUGGGAGGGUUUUAUGGGCCAAAAACAGCAUGAUUAAAUGUGAUAGAGUAUAUGUCAUGUUUUAGGUGUGAUGAACAUUCAGUUAUGUGUGACGAAUAGGAUAAUUGAAAAAAUAUGAAAGGCUAUGAUGCCAGAAAGUAUUAUGGGACAAGAUCUUAAAACCAGUGUUACCCAGGGAGUAUGAAUUUAAUAUGGGAAUUCUUAAACUCCUUUAUGACUGGAAGAUGAGCAUCAGAGUGUCUGCGACCAUUUGAUGAUAUUAUGUACCAAGUUUUAGAUGUUUGGCUUUUUUCAGGUUAUGAAAGCGGGGGAUGAGUUAAGAACCACUGCUGUGAAGGAUUCAUCAACUAUUUUUAGGCAGUUGGGUAAAAAUGACCAAUUUAGUUUUAAGAAACUGACUGUGGCUCCAGAGUAUGUUGGAGAAGUGAAAAUGGAGACUAGGAAUAACAGGUGGGAGACUAUUAGUCUAAUUAAGAUGUAAUUAUAAAUCUAAGCUAGGAACGUAAAAUGAGAAUGCAAAGUAAGAAACAAAUAUGGGGAAAAUUAUAUGUAAAAGUAAUAGGACUUGGCAUCUUACUGAUGUGAUUGAUUAUGAGAAAAAUGAAGCAUGUGGAGGAGUCCACUGGACAGUAGGAAAUUCAGCCUAAGACUUGGGUAAGAGUUCUGUGGAGUUGUGAAUUCAGAGGCCAGAGAUGUGAUAUUUAAAAUUUUGGUUCAAGAUUUCCCAGGUAUAAGAAAGCAAGAGGAUUAAAGCAUUGUAAUUAAACUUUAAGCAGUGCAUAUUUAUGUUAUAGAUAAGAUAAACAAGAAAUCUAGGGAUCAAAUAGGAUUAAAAUUAGUAGUGAUCAUUCAGUACAGUAGUUACGUACUGUUAUUCACAAGAGUAUAUAAAUCAAAUUACAAGGAAUUAAGGAUAUAAACGUGAUAAGAAAGUAUGCACUGUACUCUUUGAGGAAGUUUGCCAUAGAAAGGAAGAAGAAAUAGGAUGGUAGAUCAGAAGUAAAGCAGGACCCAGUGGGGGGAGUGUUUGCAGUGAGGCAGUAUGUAUAAUCAUUUAAAACAUGGGUUUGGAGUCCUCUCAGGUUCCAUGUUUGUAAUGGACAUAAUGAUAAUAAUCCCUUUCAUUUAAGGCUGUUGUGAGGAUUAAAUGUGUUAAUGUGCAAAUAACUUUACACAGUGCCUGGUAUAUAAUAAAUGCUUGCUACCUAUUAACUAGUAUUUGUUUCUAAGGCUAAUUUAAGUCCUAGAAUUGAUUGCAAGGAUUAGAUCAGGAGUAUAGUGGACAUGUUGGGAUUUAAAUAUUUAAAUAUAGAGAUGCUUUUUAGGACCAUUGUUAGAACCAGAAGAGAUUUUUUACCAAGUUCACACAGAAAUGUAGGUGCAUUGGCUGGGCAUGGUGGCUCACACCUGCAAUCCCAGCACUUGGGAAGGCUGAGGCAGAAGAACUGCUUGAGGCCAACAUUUUGAGACCAGCCUGGGCAACAUAUUAAGACCCCGUCUCCACCAAAAAAAAAAAAAAAAGAAGUAGGUG
rnacentral:lncRNA from 1 species